AGAGUUUGAUCCUGGCUCAGGACGAACGCUGGCGGCGUGCCUAAUACAUGCAAGUCGAGCGGACUAAUGGGAGCUUGCUCCCAGAGGUUAGCGGCGGACGGGUGAGUAACACGUGGGCAACCUGCCCUGUAGACUGGGAUAACACCGAGAAAUCGGUGCUAAUACCGGAUAAUAUAUGAGAUCUCCUGAUCUCAUAUUAAAAGAUGGCUCCGGCUAUCACUACAGGAUGGGCCCGCGGCGCAUUAGCUAGUUGGUGAGGUAAUGGCUCACCAAGGCGACGAUGCGUAGCCGACCUGAGAGGGUGAUCGGCCACACUGGGACUGAGACACGGCCCAGACUCCUACGGGAGGCAGCAGUAGGGAAUCUUCCGCAAUGGACGAAAGUCUGACGGAGCAACGCCGCGUGAGUGAUGAAGGAUUUCGGUUCGUAAAGCUCUGUUGUUAGGGAAGAACAAGUGCCGUUCGAAUAGGGCGGCACCUUGACGGUACCUAACCAGAAAGCCACGGCUAACUACGUGCCAGCAGCCGCGGUAAUACGUAGGUGGCAAGCGUUGUCCGGAAUUAUUGGGCGUAAAGCGCGCGCAGGCGGUCUUUUAAGUCUGAUGUGAAAGCCCACGGCUCAACCGUGGAGGGUCAUU
rnacentral:rRNA from 1 species